GCCUUCGGGCUCCUUGGUGAUUCAUAAUAACUUUACGGAUCGCAUAGCUUGCGCUGGCGACGGUUCAUUCAAUUUCUGCCUAUCAACUUUCGAUGGUAAGGUAUUGGCUUACCAUGGUUUCACGGUAACGGGAAUUAGGGUUCGAUUCCGGAGAGGGAGCCUGAGAAACGGCUACCACAUCCAAGGAAGGCAGCAGGCGCGCAAAUUACCCAAUCCGAUUCGGGGAGGUAGUGACAAUAAAUACUGAUACAGGGCUCUUUUGGGUCUUGUAAUUGGAAUGAGUACAAUUUAAACCUCUUAACGAGGAACAAUUGGAGGGCAAGUCUGGUGCCAGCAGCCGCGGUAAUUCCAGCUCCAAUAGCGUAUAUUAAAGUUGUUGCAGUUAAAAAGCUCGUAGUUGAAACUUGGGUCUGGCUGGCGGGUCCGCCUCACCGCGUGCACUCGUCCGGCCGGGCCUUCCUUCUGAAGAACCUCAUGCCCUUUACUGGGCGUGUUGGGGAAUCAGGACUUUUACUUUGAAAAAAUUAGAGUGUUCAAAGCAGGCCUUUGCUCGAAUACGUUAGCAUGGAAUAAUAAAAUAGGGCGUGCGUUUCUAUUUUGUUGGUUUCUAGAGACGCCGCAAUGAUUAACAGGAACAGUCGGGGGCAUCAGUAUUCAGUUGUCAGAGGUGAAAUUCUUGGAUUUACUGAAGACUAACUACUGCGAAAGCAUUUGCCAAGGAUGUUUUCAUUAAUCAGUGAACGAAAGUUAGGGGAUCGAAGACGAUCAGAUACCGUCGUAGUCUUAACCGUAAACUAUGCCGACUAGGGAUCGGGCGAUGUUCUUUUUCUGACUCGCUCGGCACCUUACGAGAAAUCAAAGUUUUUGGGUUCUGGGGGAUUAUGGUCGCAAGGCUGAAACUUAAAGAAAUUGACGGAAGGUCACCACCAGGCGUGGAGCCUGCGGCUUAAUUUGACUCAACACGGGGAAACUCACCAGGUUCAGAUGAAAUAAGGAUUGACAGAUUGAGAGCUCUUUCUUGAUUUUUCAGGUGGUGGUGCAUGGCCGUUCUUAGUUCGUGGGGUGACUUGUCUGCUUAAUUGCGAUAACGAGCGAGACCUUACUCUGCUAAAUAGCCAGGCUAGCUUUGGCUGGUCGCCGGCUUCUUAGAGAGAC
rnacentral:rRNA from 1 species